GGCUGGGGAGAAGGGCAUGGACACCUACCUCAAGGAGGCGCCAGAGUUUGUGGCCAGCCUCUGCAGCGAGGACACAUAUUAUAUCGGAGAGCUUUACCGAGACACUGGAGUCUGGGUUUCAGAGUCAUAACCCUGGCCCAUAGCCAGCUGGAGGACAAACUCUCCUGGCCAAACUCAGAAUGGGCUGAAUACUAGACCAAUAUGGAGUUCCUUGGGCUCGUAGUCAUGCCAAACAAGCGGAAGGAAGAGACUGCCAGGGCUUUAAAAGACCUACGACUUGCAAACAUUCGCUCUGUGAUGGUUACUGGCCCUGAAGACAGCUCACAGUGGGAUCUCCUUGUUCAGCGCUGGGUGCCUCGGUCACCUCCCUCUUCACCUCCAACAUCUCCUGUGUACCCAACCUCAAUAUGUACUGUAGCAUCCUUCUCAUCAACCGUGUUAACUAUCACUUUAUUUUACAGUCCUUAUACAGUUGGUACAAAUUGCCAAGCUAUAAUGUACUUACUUUGGUAACAACAUGAUAUCGAAUGGUACUUAAACAGACAGUUAGUUGUUAGGUGCCGCUGCGGUCAAAUAUAUAAGCCACCUUGCACGAUUCACUAUUUCUUCAACAACAACAAAAAAUACAUUGAAAACUGUUCCCAUAUGUAUUUGUGUGUGUUCAACCUUCACAGGACUAAGAAAAAAAUAUCUAAACUGAAAUUGAAAAAUUUCAAUUUAAGUAAACAAAUGGCCGAGACUAAAUGAUUCAAAAUUCUAAUUAAUUUGGUGGGAGGCAAGUGAUACUUGUUUAUGUGUAAUUGAACUCACAUGUGGUAAGUUGCAGGUGCCUACAGGGUAAAAAAUAGCCAUUCAACCAAUUUUUAAAAGAGAAAACAGAACAGUGCACUCCAUAGUAAAGUGCAAUGGUGCCAAUGUAUUUGACCGCAACUGUAUAACAAUGUGAAUAAACUAUAGGUUGUAGGGAAUAUAACUUCCUGUGGAAUAAAAUGUAUCUGUUGAGGUAUUUGAAGUGCUGCAUCAAAGUAGUCUCAUCCAGAGUUGUAAGAGCAAUUGUAAGCAAUUAUAUUCAACAGUG